GCAUCCAGCAGAUGAGAAGUUGCAAGAGAAGGCAUGGGGUGCAGUUGUUCCACUAGUAGGCAAAUUAAAGAAAUUUUACGAAUUUUCUCAGAGGUUAGAAGCAGCAUUAAGAGGUCUUCUGGGAGCCUUAACAAGUACCCCAUAUUCUCCCACCCAGCAUCUAGAGCGAGAGCAGGCUCUUGCUAAACAGUUUGCAGAAAUUCUUCAUUUCACACUCCGAUUUGAUGAACUCAAGAUGACAAAUCCUGCCAUACAGAAUGAUUUCAGCUAUUAUAGAAGAACAUUGAGUCGUAUGAGGAUUAACAAUGUACCGGCAGAAGGAGAAAAUGAAGUAAAUAAUGAAUUGGCAAAUCGAAUGUCUUUGUUUUAUGCUGAGGCAACUCCAAUGCUGAAAACCUUGAGUGAUGCCACAACAAAAUUUGUAUCAGAGAAUAAAAAUUUACCAAUAGAAAAUACCACAGAUUGUUUAAGCACCAUGGCUAGUGUAUGCAGAGUCAUGCUGGAAACACCGUGAGUAUCAGCUAAUCUUUUUCACUUUAACAGUGCUGUUGAGAUGACUGAUAUUUCAAAACAUGUUCAUAUAUGAACAUGUUUUAUCUGGAAGGUGGAAAGUAAGUAUAUUCCAAAUAUUGAAUGUUAAUAUAUGAACAAACAAAAUAAUUUGGCUAUUUAAUGUAACUUCUGGUUAAGUAUAAAAUAGAGUUAGUUGGUCUUCAGGUACCUCAGACCAGUCAGACUGACUCAGACUCUUAGUUGUCUUCUCAGAACAGAAAUGUGGUGGUG
rnacentral:sRNA from 1 species